CAAGACUCCCUUCUCCCUCUCGCUUGCUCGCUCGCUCAAAGCUAGUUCUUAGCAAUACUUUGUUGUCACGACUGCAGAAUCAAGCAAGAUCAUUCAAUUGAAAUCAUUCUCUUCAUCGCUAUCAGAUUUGUUUGAACAGAGAGCUAAGGACACUUUCUAUCUAGUGAAUGGGAGGCUACUAGAAUUGAAGCAUUGCACUGGAUUUCCAACCUCUUCUGAACAGACAUCGUAUUGAGGUGUUGACUUAUCUAAAGGACAUAUUUAACACCCUUUUGGAGGCACUUUCAGAUCCUUCUGAUAAGGUGGUUCUCCUGAUUCUAGAGGUUUAUGCAUGCAUAGCGAAAGAUCCACAACACUUCCGCCAGCUUGUUAUCUUUCUUGUUCAUAAUUUCUGUGUAGAUAAUUCUCUUCUGGAGAAGCUUGGUGCUUUCAUAAUUCUCCGACUGUGUGUGCUUUUAGAUGCUGAAAGGGUCUACUCAGAACUGUCUACUAUACUAGAAGGAGAGUCGGACCUGGAUUUUGCAUCUAUUAUAGUUCAGGUAGGUUGUUAUUUAUUGGACAGCAAAAAGCAAUAUGCAUCAGUGACCUAUUUCACUAUUUUUUUCGGGCAUGUAUUUUCUUUUUAUGUAGAUGAAGUUUUUUCAUCCUAUCGCCUACAA